rnacentral:rRNA from 1 species
UACAGAGGUCUCAAGCGUUGUUCGGAUUCAUUGGGCGUAAAGGGUGCGUAGGCGGCGCGGUAAGUCGGGUGUGAAAUCUCGGGGCUUAACUCCGAAACUGCAUUCGAUACUGCCGUGCUUGAGGACUGGAGAGGAGACUGGAAUUUACGGUGUAGCGGUGAAAUGCGUAGAUAUCAUGAGGAAUACCAGAGGCGAAGGCGGCUACCUGGACAAUUGCUGACGCUCAGGCACGAAAGCGUGGGGAGCAAAAGGG